GAUGAACGCUGGCGGCGUGCCUAAUACAUGCAAGUCGAACGCUGGAAAUCUAGCUUGCUAGCUUGAAGGAGUGGCGAACGGGUGAGUAAUACAUAAGCAACCUACCCACGAAGACUGGGAUAAUCUCUGGAAACGGGGACUAAUACCGGAUAGGUAAUCGGAAGGCAUCUUCUGAUUAUUAAAGGUUAAAAAAACUGGUGGAUGGGCUUAUGGCGCAUUAGUUAGUUGGUGAGGUAACGGCCCACCAAGACGAUGAUGCGUAGCCGGCCUGAGAGGGUGAACGGCCACAUUGGGACUGAGACACGGCCCAGACUCCUACGGGAGGCAGCAGUAGGGAAGUUUCGGCAAUGGGGGAAACCCUGACCGAGCAACGCCGCGUGAGUGAUGACGGCCUUCGGGUUGUAAAGCUCUGUUGUAAGGGAAGAACGGUAGAUAGAGAAUAUCUAAAUGACGGUACCUUACCAGAAAGCCACGGCUAACUACGUG
rnacentral:rRNA from 1 species